GUAAGGUUCUUCCCCUCACAAAUCCACAGAAAAAUACCUGUCUACUAGCUGCACUUGCUAGAAUUGAGUUGUUUCUAUAACCUUUUCUUCAAUGGAAUUAACUUAGGGAUAAACUGCCUAUAUCAUUUUUGUUUUUGUUAUUUUCCAUGUCUAGCAUUUCUACCCAUUUCUACUUUCUCGUCUUUUGCCUCUUUCUACAUUUUUCAAGUUCACUGGUAGAAGAAUAAUGGAAGAAAGCAGUUAACUCCACCUCCAAGACACCUACUGAGAGAUCUGGAAAAUGGAAAGCUUAGGUCUGUGUAGGACUUAAGUCUGUGAGGUACAGUGAAAAGCAACAACAACAGCCACAACAAAAACUACAGAUUUCUUACAGCUCUGUCACCUGGUGAGGAAGGAGCAAGUCUAGUGCUCUGGAAGGAAUGGAGGGCAUGGCAGUUAAUCAUGUCACCAGUCAGAACAAAACAAACACAUAACUCCUCAGCUUCCUCUGGAGGGGAGU
rnacentral:lncRNA from 1 species